GUGGGGAAUAUUGGACAAUGGGCGGAAGCCUGAUCCAGCCAUGCCGCGUGUGUGAAGAAGGCCUUUUGGUUGUAAAGCACUUUAAGCGAGGAGGAGGCUCCUUUAGUUAAUACCUAAAGUGAGUGGACGUUACUCGCAGAAUAAGCACCGGCUAACUCUGUGCCAGCAGCCGCGGUAAUACAGAGGGUGCGAGCGUUAAUCGGAUUUACUGGGCGUAAAGCGUGCGUAGGCGGCUUUUUAAGUCGGAUGUGAAAUCCCUGAGCUUAACUUAGGAAUUGCAUUCGAUACUGGAAAGCUAGAGUAUGGGAGAGGAUGGUAGAAUUCCAGGUGUAGCGGUGAAAUGCGUAGAGAUCUGGAGGAAUACCGAUGGCGAAGGCAGCCAUCUGGCCUAAUACUGACGCUGAGGUACGAAAGCAUGGGGAGCAAACAGGAUUAGAUAACCCGGUAGUAC
rnacentral:rRNA from 1 species